GCCCAGCACGCCCAGUCCCCACACAUCUCAUUACGGUCUCUCCUGGGAAAGCUUACUCGGCAUGUGAAGCAUCAACUCCUGUGCUCAAAUUACAGAAAGACGAAAUUGAGGCCUGCGCAGACGUGCAGUCAGGUUAUCAAAGCACCCUUUGUUAGAUCCAGUGGAUCCUCCUGAGCGCUCUGUGACCUGCCUUCUGGCAGCACCAGGUCUUACUGACCACUCUUCCUCGACAUUCUCUUCCCCAGGCUUUGUGGCAUCCCGCUUUCUUUCUAGCCCUCUAGCUACGCCUUCUCAGUGUCCUCAGAUUCUCCUCCUCCCACUCCUGUCCUUCAGACACGGGUGUUCUUGAAGGUUCCAUGUGGGGAGUGUUUCUCUCCUUCUUCCGUGUUCUGGGUGCCCAUCCAUUCCUAGGGCUUCAUGGGGUAGAGACUCCCAAACUCGAACCUCCAACCCAAACACUGUGUCUCAGAGCCAUGUAACCCACUGUCUCCUGAACACACUUUCAUCUAAAUGUUAAGGAGACACCUAAGAUAGAACACGUCCCAAACAAACUCAUCUCCCACCCCAUAUCUCUUGCUGUGUCCCCUGUCUUGGGGUGUGACAUCCACAUCCAUCCACUGCAUAAACCAGAUCUCUAGGCUCUGUCCACUGGAACUCCCCCGCCACUGUCUCCACCCUCACUCUCACUGCCCCGUGUGAGACCACAGUCCAUGGCCGGGGUGGCUCCAGAGUUAGUUCCUAAGAUACAAAUCUCGUCAAGCCCCUCCUCUACUUAGAAACCC
rnacentral:lncRNA from 10 species